rnacentral:lncRNA from 1 species
GCCAGAGCACACGGAAACGCCGUGGGACCUAGGACCUAGACCUAGGACCCUCGUACCUAUAGGACCGCUUCUCCUGGUAUGUCCCAUGGAGGACCUUACGGUCUUCAAAUAAAAACAACUUGGAGAUCCCGGGCCACAGGGAAGUUAGGCUGGCCUCAGCCAGAGCCAGGGCUUUUUCAGCCGUGGCCCCGAUCUGGUGGAACAGCUCUGUCUUGCAGGCCCUGCGGGACUUGACAUCUUUCUGCAGGGCCUGCAAGACAGAGCUGUUCCACCAGGCCUUUGGCCAAGGCACAGUCUGACUCCCUCCUUCGGUAAUCCUCACAGAACUCUAGCCCAAUGGUUGCCAUUAAUUUGAUUUUGAAUUGAUUUUAGAAUGCAUUUCACUUAAUUGAUUAUGAUUUUAUGUAAACUGUGUUACUUUUAUUGUUGUUAGCCACUCUGAGCCCAGCUUCGGCUGGGGAGGGCGGGAUAUAAACAAAUUAUUAUUAUUAUUAUUAUUAUUAUUAUUAUUAUUAUUAUUAUUACUAUUAUUACUAUUAUUAUUAUUAUUAUUAUUUACCUUCCCGCAGCAGCACCUAUUUAUCUACUUGCACUGAUGUGAUUUCGAACUGCAGAGGCUGAGACAAUGCAACAAGAGCUCACCCCGUCAUGCAGAUUCGAACUACCAACCUUUCAAUCGGCAAGCCCAAGAGGCUCAGUGGUUUAGACCGCAGCGCCACCCGCGUUCCUCUUUCAGCUCUACAGUUCUAUGAUUCUACUCUUGUAAUCCUGCAACAGGGCUCCCCCACACCCUCUCUUCCCAUCCCCGUUCUUUAUCCUAUUCUUAUUGGUGGGACCAAGGGGCGUGGAAGCAAUUUGAUUCGGUUCACAUUGAAAGGUGAAUCUACGCAAUCUGCAUUUUCUGAAACAAUCUGUGGUCUGAAACACAGCCUUCCUUUGACAUUCACACUUCUCUGCAGUUUGCAUCACAGUUCUCCAGCCAAGGAAUUUGUGCAACGAUGCUUAAAUCGCAUACAAUAUAGGAAUGUGUGUACCAGUGAAAAUAAUGUGCAAAAUGUAUUUUUUUUGGCCACUGCUUCGAGGGCACACUCAGACCCUCGUGGGCCGGAGCCCAGCAGAGGACGGGGUGAGAGUGGAGCUGUGUCUGGCUGGCAACGUUGGUCUGUUGCAUGAGUAAGCUGCCUCCACAGUUCCCUCGGGCACCAGAGUUAGGCCCCGAAGGCGUGGCUUCCCUCCCCGUGGCUCCAACCUCAAAGAGGGAGUCUGUUGUUGGGGCGCCUGAUUGAGCCCUCUCAAAGAAACCACAGCCCCCCACGAUACGCCACUGUUCCUGCCAAUACCCUUUGUGUAAACCUUCAUUUCAUUUCGCUUUUAAUUCGCCUUUCUAUCUUACUAUGCACAAGGUCGCAUACAAGUUGAAGAAACAACAAAAUAGACAGCAAAGAUCAUACACGUAAUAGCAAUCUGAUCCAAUACAAGAAAGUCACAAUAAUUUUAAAGUAAAUAACUCAUAUCACAUAAAGCAAUAUUCAAUAAUCCAUUACAAUAUAAUAGUAAACAGUAAGAGUAAGGUAAAGGUAAAGGGACCCCUGACCAUUAGGUCUAGUUGUGGACGACUCUGGGGUUGCGGCGCUCAUCUCUCUUUACUAGCCGAGGGAGCCGGCGUACAGCUUCCGGGUCAUGAGGCCAGCAUGACGAAGCCGCUUCUGGCGAACCAGAGCAGCACACGGAAAUGCCAUUUACCUUCCCGCCGGAGCGGUACCUAUUUAUCUACUUGCACUUUGACAUGCUUUCGAACUGCUAGGUUGGCAGGAGCAGGGACCGAGCAACGGGAGCUCACCCCCUCGUGGGGAUUCGAACCACCAACCUUCUGAUCGGCAAGACCUAGGCUCUGUGGUUUAACCCACAACGCCACCCGCAGCCCUAAAUGGCAAGAUUAAAUAUCAGCAAAUAAUAAUUAAACAGUUAACACAUCAAUUACAAUAAAAUAUUAAUAAACUAUUAUCAAUAAAAAUAACAGCAAGGCGCAAUGCAUAAAAUGCCACAAAGCAUGCAAAACCACGUAAAAGCAUCAAACUGAGAAACAAGGAGACACAACUUAUAAAAUAUUUUUUUAAAAAAUACCCCCGAACUCCUCCCUUCCCAGCUGCUUUUGCUGUUCUCAAAGUCAUUGUCACUCUUCCUGCAACUGCUCUUUGCAAAACCCACCAAGGUAGAAACCCUUCUAAAUUUUGCUAAAAGCAAGCAACCCACUUGGUAUGGAACAAAGAGUCAUGCAACUUGGAUGAAAUACGCAAAAUGCAUGCAUGCGUUAAAAAAAGAAGUGGUGCCCGUGUCAUUGGUUUUCUUGGGAAUACAACGGCCUGACCAAAAAAAUAAUAAUGCCAAAAGGGAGGUCAUCCAUCUGCCUGGAGCACUGUUUGAAUGGAGCCAGGAUUGCAGGGGGAAAGAAUGGGAGAGCUCUCCCCUCUGUUCAGAUCUGUGUGAUCUAAAUAAUCUGGGAUGCCUCCAUCUGGGAAAGGUUUUCUGUUCCUCCCCAGUGCUUGAGGUCCUUGAUGUGUUAUAACUUAUAACAGACCAUUACCUCACUGGUUCACUGCAGAUGGCUGCAGUCUGAAAACCUUUAUUCUACGAUGGCUGGCUCUUACAUCCCUUUCAUCAAACUCAUUUUUUGGGUGGAGGGGGCUUCAUUCUUUAAUUUUGCCUCCCCGCAACCCUGUCUUCUCCCAAGUUUUGUCUGACUCAUAAGGAUGCGAUGGAACCAAGGAUCUUUCUGACGUUUCGUAUAUCCGGAUCGUAUUGCAGAGUCAUUAAUUAGAAAUAUUAAGCUGGAAGGAAGGGUUUAUAUUUUGUCAGUAUGUUCUUUCGAUGUUCGCUUUAGAGAGGAAAAUCCAUUGAAAUGCAAAAAACCUCCUUCAUAUGGGAGCGGGGUGGGGGAAAUCUUCCCACCAAACAAAAAAGCACCAUGUUCUGUAGGUUAAAGUUUAGUCGAACCCCUCUGCAGAUGAAUAACGUCGAAGGGAGUUGAUGCUCAUGAUAAAAGAUAGAUCAGAGGUUAUAGAAUCAUAGAACUGUAGAGUUGGAAGGGAACCCAGAGGUCAUCCAGUCCAAACCCCUGCAAUGCAAGGGAUUUGCCACAAUGAGGGCUCUAAUGAAAGGAUAUUUUAUUCUGAUACCCUUCAAUCUAUAUCUCACCAGCUGCACAGAUUCAGUGUUUCCAUUGAAGGAAAUCUGCCUCGCCGUAGUGAAUCAUCAUCCACAUUUUGUCAUUGUUGUUUAGUCGUGUCCGACUCUUCAUGACCCCCUGGACCAGAGUACGCCAGGCACUCCUGUCUUUCACUGCCUCCCGCAGUUGGGUCAAACUCACACUGGUAGCUUCGAGAACACUGUCCAACCAUCUUGUCCUCUGUCGUCCCCUUCUCCUUGUGCCCUCCAUCUUUCCCAACAUCAGGGUCUUUUCCAGGGAGUCUUUUCUUCUCAUGAGGUGGCCAAAGUAUUGGAGCCUCAGCUUCAGGAUCUGUCCUUCCAGAGAGCACUCAGGGCUGAUUUCCUUCAGAAUGGAUCAGUUUGAUCUUCUUGCAGUCCAUGGGACUCUCAAGAGUCUCCUCCAGCACCAUAAUUCAAAAGAAUCAAUUCUUCGGCGAUCAGCCUUCUUUAUGGUCCAGCUCUCACUUCCAUUUUGUCAUACUGAGAGUCAUAGAAACAUAGGAUUGUAGAGUUGGAAGGGACUUUGAGGGUCAUCUAGUCCAACCCCCUGCAAUGCAGGAAUCCUGCCCACUUCUGUCCUGGGUGUGCUUGAACCAGCAACCUUCUGGUUAGCAGCCAAAUGUACUGACCCAUUGGUUCAGAGCACUGGGGUCCAAGAUAAAAGACACUCGACUGAACAGGAAGUCCCAUUCAUUUCAAAAGGUCUACUCUAAGGAUGACUAAGAUUGGAUCAAAAGUAUUACUGUAUUAUUAUUAUUAUUAGUUAUUAUAGUAGUAACAGUAUGUAGGCUAAGUACAUUUAUUAAUAUUGCAUUUUAAAAAAUCAACCACAUCCCUUAUUCAUGGAGUUUCGAGUGACACUGUGGUUCUCCCCAGACCCUUGUCCCAAGACAUUCAUUUGCUAACACGGGUAGGAAACCUCUGGCCCUCCAGCUGUUGCUGGACUCCAGCUCCCAUCAUCCCUGAUUCCUAGCCCUGGCAGCUACUGGGGUGAGGGGCAAAUUUAACAAGGGAUAAAUGUGAGCAAAUGCAAUGUUAUGUAUUCAGAGUUUAUUUUGAUGUCACCUGGAGAGCCUGACACAAUGUGGAUGUGGAAGAGGGAUGGAAGAUUUUUUUUGGGGGGGGGGACAGACAGCAGAAUGAAAUCAUAGGUGAAUUUUGCGUGUCUCUUUUCCUAGGUCUCAGGUACCUAUUUAUCUACUUGCACUUUGACGUGCUUUUGAACUCGUAGGUUGGCAGGAGCAGGGACUGAGCAACGGGAGCUCACCUUGUCACAGGGAUUCGAACCACCGACCUUCUGAUGAGCAAGUCCUGGACUAUGUGGUUUAACCCACAGCGCCACCCUCGUCCCUUAUCUUACAUUGUGGCUUUUCAAAAAUCAGUCUGCUAUUAUUUUAUGAUUAGCCAUUUUUUUGGAUUGACAGUUGCCUUGGAGGGAUCCCAUUCUGGGCCCAAAAGGUAAGGGAUAUUGGGGGGGGGGGGCGAACACAACAGCAAACAAAAUCAAUCCAACAGGUCCUGCUCAGUGGAGCUGCAACCCCAUAGAAACACAAGUUGCAAUAAACAUGGCAGUCUCCAAGGUGCAUAAGCAACAUAAAGACCUGAAACAUGAAAACAGUACUGUAUUGAACAAAUAUAUAUAUCACAAAAUAAUAAAUGGUUGCAAUUUAUUUAGUUAAAAUUAAGCAACAGGGUGUGAUAUAUAUCAGAAGAUGGAGCCCCACUGGCUCCAUUUUUCCAUCCUGUCCGAUUAAUCCAGCAUCCUUGGGAAGAGGGCUAACACCACAUCAACAGCAGGCUCUUCUCAUGAGGGCACCAGGUUGGGGAACGCUGUUGAGGAGUUUCUGGUCUGAGAAUGUGGCUGGACGAUGGACAGAGCAACCGGGAGGCCAUCACUCCAGGUCUGUCGCCUCUUUAUAAAUAACACUCGUCAAAGGGGCAGGAUGUGUGUCAAGGCCAUUUUGAUAGAGUGUGUCUUUCCGGCUUAAAGAGAAACAAGGCUCUCUUUUUUUCCUGGUGAGAUUGCUUUGAAACCAAAGCCCUCUCUUUCCUUUUAUUUUUGGACCUUGGCAGAAGCCUUCAGAGAAAGGUUCUUGCAGAGAAAACACUUUUCCUUUCCACAGGCGCUGUGGUCUGGGUGUGGGCGCUGGCACAGCAACACAUACGCAGAUGAGAUAACGUAGGUCCCUUUAUUUUAAAAGCCCAGAAUUCCUACAGGGCGUUUGCUUGUUUGGGGACAGUUUGUACAUGCACUUGGUUUGCUCAGGGCUUUAGGGCUUGUGCCCUAAAUGUGGACAGAGUCGGCUGAAGGAAAGAAUCGUGUUGGAGGCAAAGCAAAAGUUCUGUCUUUGGUGUCAGGUCUCUCCAGGGCCAUUCAGACAUGCAGGGUAUCUCGUCACAAAGUUAUAGGUGGGCAUGUGUGAACGGGCUCACCCUCACAGCUAAUACCGUGUUAGUAUGGAGAAGGUAGCAAAAUUUCCGAGUGCUGCCAUGAAGCUACGUCAUUAAAAGACCAGAGGAGGGCAACCAAAAUGGCCAAAGCCUGGAAAGGAUGCCUUAUGAGGAACGGCUAAGGGAGCUGGGCAUGUUUAGCCUGGAGAAGAGGACGUUAAGGGGUGAUAUGAUAGCCAUGUUCAAAUAUAUAAAAGGAUGUCACAUAGAGGAGGGAGAAAGGUUGUUUGCUGCUGCUCCAGAGAAGCGGACACGGAGCAAUGGAUCCAAACUACAAGAAAGAAGAUUCCACCUAAACAUUAGGAAGAACUUCCUGACAGUAAGAGCUGUUCGACAGUGGAAUUUGCUGCCAAGGAGUGUGGUGGAGUCUCCGUCUUUGGAGGUCUUUAAGCAGAGGCUUGACAACCAUAUGUCAGGAGUGCUCUGAUGGUGUUUCCUGCUUGGCAGGGGGUUGGACUCGAUGGCCCUUGUGGUCUCUUCCAACUCUAUGAUUCUAUGAAAAGACCUGAGAGGUGCCAUUUAACAUUAUUGUAUCUGUAUAGUUUUAUCUUAAAGUAUCUCCUUUUAUGAACAAGUGCCAAUUUUAUGCUUUGACCCAUGUAUUUUUGUGCCAAUAAAGGAGACUGAUUGACUGACAAUAGCUUGUAUGUAAUAUGCUUGCAAUUACAUGCAUGUUGCAUUUUUCUCAAGGGCUCAAAGCCCUUCUCACAUCCCUUCUUUCAAAACAGCCUUGUAUGACAGGCCAGUAGCCUUAUGCCCAUAAUACAGACUGGAGCGGAAUGAAGACUGAGGUUGAGAGAAACUGGGAGCCUGUGAACUUGCUGGCUGAUGAGGAUGGCAGAACAUUAAAAAAUGCAGGCCCAAGAAGAGUUCUUAAUAUCCCCAUCCCCCCCAAAUGUCCUAUUGCAGAGCUGGGUAAUCUUUUCCAGCCUGGGCAACUUUUCAGGGGCCACAUGCAAGUAGUAGGCAGGGCCAGAUGCAAAAUUGGGCUCCAUGAUGUUGGUGUGAUGCUGCCUAAUCCACCACAAGCAGCAUGUAUGCUAUGCUCUUUGAGUGUUCACGAACGUUAUCUCAGCAAUCUUUACUACACCACUGUAGGUUAGGCAAAUAUCUAUCUAUCAUCUCUCUCUCUCUCUCAUCUAUCUUUCUAUCUUUCUAUCAUCUAUCUAUCUAUCUAUCUAUCUAUCUAUCUAUCUAUCUAUCAUCUCUAUCAUCUAUCUGUCAAUCAAUCAAUCAAUCAAUCAAUCAAUCAAUCCAUCAAUCCAUCAUCUAUCUAGUAUCUGUGUGUCUAUCUAUGGCUUUGCAAAAUCCCCAGGGCACAAAACAGAUAAAAACAGAGCAAUUAGAAAAUAAAACCAACAGGCAGUUUGAGACUGUUGCUAUUUUCAGGUGCGAUUCAAUCACAGACUGGCAAAUUCAGGUUCAUUGGGUGGUCUUGCUCAACAAAAGAACAGACUAUUUACAAUAAGGAAAGUGAGGGAGAAAUGCCAUGGAAAGUGUGGAAUAAGACUUUGAGGCAAUUUCAUCUAACUUCCCUGCAAAACGAAUCAAAGUCAACGCUCACUUAAUAGCCAAUGGCUUCUGGUCUCCGUGCAAACAAAUUUAAUAGAUAAUAAUAAACAAAUGAAGAUGAAUGCUCAGUAAACAAGUUAUCUGGAAGCACCAAAUGAUAAGCUAAAUUAGAGGAACAAUUAAAACAAACAAACAAAAAAAGAUAGUUGAAACAGUGAAACUCACAAAAUUGUUGGAUUAAAACCAGCUUUGGUUACAUAAUAGCUGUGUCAUCCUGGGACAUUUGCCUGGCACCAGAAAGAUGCCAAGGUCAGUGCCAGGCCAGCCCCCCAGGGCAGGAAUACUAGAGUUGUGGGGCCACCACUGAGAAGGCCAUUUUAUUGGUCACCACUCACCUGACCUCAGGUAGCAGCAGACAUAGAGGAGACAUUGCCCUUUGGGUACCCAGUCUCUAAACUGUUUUAAGUCUUUAAGGUACAUUGUAUUCUGCUUGGAAACAUACCAGCAGCCAGUGCGGUCCUGUAUCCUGGCAAGAUAUCCCUGUUAUGUAUUCAAUGGUCUGUGUUUGCCUGAGCUUAAGCCUGGACUAAGGAUUCUCAGCUCCUGUGUUCUGAUUCGAUACAUGAUGUCCAAUCACAGGACAUUUUAGGAUUUGGGCCUCUGCCAUUGGCCCUUGAACUCUGAGCUGUGAUUCGCAGCUUGGAAGUUUAGAUAGCCAAUCACGUUGGGAGUGGGAGUGGCCCAGGCUUUCAGGAAUGUAUAUAAGCAGUUGUUUUGCCCCUGUUUCCCAGGUUCAAGAAAGGUUCUUGCUGUUAUCACUGUGUCUUGCCUCGUGGGAACCCACCUACACUUCACAGGUGAUGAGGAUGGGAUGCUAGGCUAGGUAUGCAGCUCUGGCAAUCCCCCUAUCUGUUAAUCCCAGCUGGUCAUCUUGCAGCUACAUAUGGGACAAGCAGCCAUUUAUGAGCAGUCUGCAAAGGCAGCAGCAGCACAAACAAUGCAUUGCAGCUGCCUAAUCUCAAAAUGAGUAGAACACUGAUAACCUGGACCAGGUUAUCUCCACUGAGGAAAUACACCAACCUUAGCAGGUGAAAGAUGCACAGGUAAACAGAAAGAGCUGGAUCAACGAGCUCUCCCCAACUGCAGAAUUGGAACCUUUUAGCGGGAGAACACAGGUGAUGGGGACUGUAGUCCAACAACACCUAGAGGGCACCAGGUUGGGGAUCAUAGAAUCAUAGAGUUGGAAGGGACUCUGAGGAUCAUGUAGUCCAACCCCCUGCAAUGCAGGAAUAUGCAGCUGUCCCAUGCGGGACUCGAACCUGCAACCUUGGCAUUAUCAGCACUGCACUCUAACCAACUGGUAUGUUUGGUAUAGACAGUACUGCACUAGGUGGACUUGGGUGUGAGGGUGUGUUCCUGGAUUUUCAUGACCUGAUGCAAAGUCUAUGGGAUUCACAAUGGAGGUGGAGAAAUGUGCCCAUCAUCUGUGGUUGAAGAUCUUCAGUGCUGGUUUUUGUGUUUUGUUUUUUUUAAAGGAGAAAAAUAAAUAAAUGUAAAGUCCGACUCCCUGCCCUCUGGACCUGGGAUAUGCUUAGAGGUGAAGGAAUAAAGUCCUGAGAGCUUAUCUGAUGGAGCGUGAGCCUUGCCAAAGCUUCUUGCUAUCAGCUGGAGACACAUGUGCAAUUGGCAAGGCUUCUGGGAAGGAACAAUACAAACAGUCUUCAUUGUGGAGUCAACAAUGAUGGGAGAAGGAGCCUGUGAGCUGUGGGCGGUCUGCGAGGCACACUGCAGGCGAUUCCAAGCCAGGAAGAUGCUGUCAAAAUCAAAAACAGGGGAUAGCAGAUUUCUGGAGCGUGGCUUUUUUCCUCUUUUUUUGUUUUGUUCCCAAAGGAAAAAGUCGUACUUUGGGAAUGGUUCAGAGCCAAUAGUACAAAAGCAUCAGGAGUAUGUCUACAUUAAAAAGAGUUUAUAGUUGCUGUCAUUUGUGCACUAAAAAUAAACCUCUGUUGCCAGCCAGCUUUGGCAAGUAGCUGGACUUGCCAAGGUGCUAGUUCUCAUUCAAAUUGGCUUUGUGCAUGUGGGUGUUAAAGAGGGAAAAGAAGGGUUUCUUGAAAG